AUUGAACGCUGGCGGCAGGCCUAACACAUGCAAGUCGAGCGGAGCGGCUGACGGGUGAGUAAUUCCUAGGAAUCUGCCUGGUAUUGUGGGAUAACGUCCGUAAACGGGCGCUAAUACCGCAUACUAUCAGAUGAGCCUAGGUCGGAUAGGCAAGUUGGUGGGGUAAAGGCCUACCAAGGAGACGAUCCGUAACUGGUCUGAGAGGAUGAUCAGUCACACUGGAACUGAGACACGGUCCAGACUCCUACGGGAGGAAGCAGUGGGGAAUAUUGGAAAAUGGGCGAAGGCCUGAUCCAGCCAUGUCGCGUGUGUGAAGAAGGUCUUCGGGUUGUAAAGCACUUUAAGUUGGGAGGCGUUACCAACAGAAUAAGCACCGGCUAACUUCGUGCCAGCAGCCGCGGUAAUAC
rnacentral:rRNA from 1 species